UGAAUCAGGCAGAGCUGCUCCUUGCCGAGUUCCCUGGUCAGACUGCACCCCUGUCUUCGCUCCACAGAUGAGCAAAGCUGCCAGUUGGGACAACUAUGUGGGUGAUGCAGGUGUUAAUUCCAAGGAUACCCAACCCCAAUAAAUAUUGCUGCACCUUUAACGGUUUCAGAGUCUGCUCCCCAGAAAACCCAGCUUGUGACAGAUUUCUACUCUAUGGGGCUUCUGGUCUGCCACCCUUCACUGACUUCACCUUGUCGUGCUAAUGCCCAAGGCAAGUAGAGGACCAGAGAAACCCUGGUGGAAGA